GGAGGGGUGCGAGCGUUAAUCGGAAUUACUGGGCGUAAAGCGCGCGUAGGCGGGCUUGGUCAGUCGGGAUGUGAAAGCCCCGGGGCUUAACCUGGGAAUUGCAUUCGAUACUGCCAGACUAGAGUAUGGGAGAGGGAAGCGGAAUUUCCGGUGUAGCGGUGAAAUGCGUAGAUAUCGGAAGGAACACCAGUGGCGAAGGCGGCUUCCUGGCCCAAUACUGACGCUGAGGUGCGAAAGCGUGGGGAGCGAACAGGAUUAGAUACCCUGGUAGUCCACGCCGUAAACGAUGAGAACUAGAUGUCGGGAGGAUUUGCCUCUCGGUGUCGCAGCUAACGCGUUAAGUUCUCCGCCUGGGGAGUACGCCGGCAAACGGUA
rnacentral:rRNA from 1 species